UACGUAGGUGGCGAGCGUUGUCCGGAUUUACUGGGCGUAAAGGGAGCGUAGGCGGACUUUUAAGUGAGAUGUGAAAUACCCGGGCUCAACUUGGGUGCUGCAUUUCAAACUGGAAGUCUAGAGUGCAGGAGAGGAGAAUGGAAUUCCUAGUGUAGCGGUGAAAUGCGUAGAGAUUAGGAAGAACACCAGUGGCGAAGGCGAUUCUCUGGACUGUAACUGACGUUGAGGCUCGAAAGCGUGGGGAGCAAACAGGAUUAGAUACCCGGGUAGU
rnacentral:rRNA from 1 species